UUUCCCUCUCUCUCUCUCUCCGCAGUCUGCAAUCCGGGCUGCUCUCAGCAUCUGGCGGCUGCGGCUGGAGCGCUCCGCAUAUGCGGCGCGUCCUUCGGCCGCUCCUCGGCUGCUCGUACGGGGAAGAGAGGCGAGAGAGGGUCAAGUAGGUUCCUCACCCAGCUCUCUAUCUCCCUCGGCAGCUUGGCGGGGGCCGCGCAGAGUGCUGGAAGAAUGUAGAAAUGUCUCGGAAGGCUUUCCACUUACUUGAUGACUUGGGAAAAGAGACUCUAGCAAAGCUGAGCUGAAUUCUCUGUGGAAAUAGCAUCAGAGAACCUGUCAAAUGGCUGGAAACAGAUGAAAAACACAGUUUAUGUUGAAGACAAGACAGCCACCUAAUGGAUUUUAGCAUUGCAUAGUAUUCAGCUUCAUCUAGUGGAGGCCAAG